rnacentral:rRNA from 1 species
CGGUACUUGAUGAAUAAGCCACGGCUAAUUCCGUGCCAGCAGCCGCGGUAAUACGGGAGUGGCAAGCGUUAUCCGGAAUUAUUGGGCGUAAAGCGUCCGCAGGCGGCCCAACAAGUCUGCUGUUAAAAAGUGGAGCUUAACUCCAUCAUGGCAGUGGAAACUGUUGGGCUCGAGUGUGGUAGGGGCAGAGGGAAUUCCCGGUGUAGCGGUGAAAUGCGUAGAUAUCGGGAAGAACACCAGUGGCGAAGGCGCUCUGCUGGGCCAUCACUGACGCUCAUGGACGAAAGCCAGGGGAGCGAAAGGGAUUAGAUACCCCUGUAGUCCUGGCCGUAAACGAUGAACACUAGGUGUCGGGGGAAUCGACCCCUCCGGUGUCGUAGCCAACGCGUUAAGUGUUCCGCCUGGGGAGUACGCACGCAAGUGUGAAACUCAAAGGAAUUGACGGGGGCCCGCACAAGCGGUGGAGUAUGUGGUUUAAUUCGAUGCAACGCGAAGAACCUUACCAGGGUUUGACAUCCUGCGAAUCUCUUGGAAACUUGAGAGUGCCUUCGGGAGCGCAGUGACAGGUGGUGCAUGGCUGUCGUCAGCUCGUGUCGUGAGAUGCUGGGUUAAGUCCCGCAACGAGCGCAACCCACGUCUUUAGUUGCCAGCAUUUAGUUGGGCACUCUAGAGAGACCGCCGGUGAUAAACCGGAGGAAGGUGUGGAUGACGUCAAGUCAUCAUGCCCCUUACAUCCUGGGCUACACACGUACUACAAUGCUACGGACAAAGGGCAGCAAGUUCGCGAGGACAAGCAAAUCCCAUAAACCGUGGCUCAGUUCAGAUCGUAGGCUGCAACUCGCCUACGUGAAGGAGGAAUCGCUAGUAAUCGCAGGUCAGCAUACUGCGGUGAAUACGUUCCCGGGCCUUGUACACACCGCCCGUCACACCAUGGAAGUUGGCCACGCCCGAAGCCGUUACUCCAACCCUUGUGGAGGAGGACGUCGAAGGUGGGGCUGAUGACUGGGGUG